AAUCUCUUCAGUUUUGAAAGAAAGGGUUAAGACUUGAAGUGUCUGUGAUUGAACUUCAUUGCAUGGUGAUGAACCUAUCCCUAGUGUAUAUUAUAGUUAUUUUUUUCUAGAAUGAUGAUACAUAUGUUGCAAGUAUAUGCAGUUUCCACUUCUGCAUUUUGUUCCUUUUGAUAAAUUUAUUUAGUGAUACAUAUGUUGCAAGUAUAUGCAGUUUCCACUUCUGCAUUUUGUUCCUUUUGAUAAAUUUAUUUAGUACACCGACAUAGGUUCUAUAAUCUGCAAUGUUCUUUAGUAAACUCAGGUUGAAAAAAAUGUAUUCCGAUUAGUAAUUAGGUCACAUCUAUAUAUAAAAUCAAAGUCUUGGUAAAUCACAUUGAUGAGAACUUAAAGUUUUUUAAAUUGUUGAAGCCUUUCGUCCACUUGAAGUUUUUGAAGAAUUGUAGAUAUUUUUUACUAAACAAAAGCAUGGGUGGCAUGUCCGCACAUGAUAUUUUUUUAGGGAGGUACCUCGCUUCUUACUCUGUAUGUUCUUUUUUAAGGUUUAUGUUAACUCAAUUGACAACAAAGACAACUAUCGGAAGUGUUAGAUGUAGGCUAAUUCUCCUUUUCUGUGUAGAGAGCUACUAAUGUCAUGUAUUUCAACCUUUGUAUGGCGCUCCUCCUUUGAAAUUUUAUGGAUAUAUUAAACUGAUUUUCUCUAAAGUUACUCAUCUCAUUUCUCUGUUCUUGCAGAUUGCUAAGAUAAAUUGAUGAUGUAUCGCUGGGGUGUUCACUGCAAGGUCAAGAAUGGGGCUACUACUAUGUAGAUGAUUAGAAUGAUAUUUUCAGGGUCAAUGUUUCAAAACAUUAUAGUUGAUUGCAAGGUUGAGAAUGGGGCUACUAAUAGAUAGUUUCACAUCUUGUAAUGUCUGGAUCAUGUUAUCUGUAAUGCAACACAACCAAUUUAAUAUAUGAG
rnacentral:lncRNA from 1 species